rfam:Parcubacteria bacterium GW2011_GWA2_40_23 TT91_C0005, whole genome shotgun sequence.
UUUGUCAAUUCAAUGAUUUUAAAGGUAGAUUUGCUAUCACCAGUGUCUAAGGCAUGCAAGUCGAACGCCUAUUCCUUCUUCGGAUAGAAUAGGAGUGGCAAACGGGUGAGUAACACAUUGGUAACAUACCUCUGACUCGUGAACAACUCGGAGAAAUCUGAGCUAAUACACGAUGGUCUGCACUGGCAUGAGUCGGUGCAGUAAAGAUUUAUCGGUCAGAGAGUGGCCUAUGGCCUAUCAGCUAGUUGGUAAGGUAAAAGCUUACCAAGGCUACGACGGGUAGCGGGUGUGAGAGCACGACCCGCCUCACUGGGACUGAGACACUGCCCAGACUCCUACGGGAGGCUGCAGUCGAGAAUUUUCCUCAAUGCACGAAAGUGUGAAGGAGCGACGCCGCGUGGUUGAUGAAACCCUUCGGGGUGUAAAAAUCUUUUUUCUGGGAAGAACUAAUGACUGUACCAGAAGAAUAAGGGGCUGCUAAACUCGUGCCAGCAGCAGCGGUAAUACGAGUGCCCCAAGCGUUACCCGGAUUUAUUGGGCGUAAAGCGUGCGUAGGUGGUCUAUUAAGUCAGUGGUUAAAUCCUUCGGCUCAACCGGGGAAUCGCCACUGAUACUGUUAGACUUGAGUUUGGAAGAGGUAAGCGGAAUUGCCGGUGUAGGGGUUAAAUCCGUUAAUAUCGGCAGGAACACCAAAUGCGAAGGCAGCUUACUAGGACAAUACUGACACUAAGGCACGAAAGCGUGGGGAGCGAAGCGGAUUAGAUACCCGCGUAGUCCACGCCGUAAACUAUGGAUAUUAGACAUUGGGAGUAUCGACCCUCUCAGUGUCGUCACAAAAAGCUAACGCGUUAAAUAUCCCGCCUGGGGAGUACGAUCGCAAGAUUAAAACUCAAAGGAAUUGACGGGGACUCGCACAAGCGGUGGAGCACGUGGUUUAAUUCGACGAUAAGCGAAAAACCUUACCAAGGUUUGAAAUCUAGCUGCAAGCCCUAAGAAACUAGGGCCGCCUACGAGGGUGCUAGACAGGUGCUGCAUGGUUGCCGUCAGCUCGUGCCGUGAGGUGUACGGUUAAGUCCGAUAACGAGCGCAACCCUCAUUCUAAUUUAUACUUUAUUAGAAAACUGCCUUGUAUAACAAGGAGGAAGGUGGGGAUGACGUCAAAUCAGCAUGGCUCUUACACCUUGGGCAACACACAUGCUACAAUGGCCAAUACAAAGGGACGCCAAAUCGUAAGAUGGAGCAAAUCCCACCAAAAUUGGUCUCAGUUCGGAUUGAGGUCUGAAACUCGACCUCAUGAAGCUGGAAUCGCUAGUAACCGUGGAUCAGCACGUCACGGUGAAUACGUUCUCGAGUCUUGUACACACCGCCCGUCAAGUCAAGAGAGUCGGUAAUGCCCGAAUGUCGUUGUAGGACGGCAGAAGGUAGGACCGAUGAUAGGGGCUAAGUCGUAACAAGGCAUCCGUAGCGGAAGCUGUGGAUGGAAACAACUCCUUU